rnacentral:rRNA from 1 species
UGGGGAAUAUUGGACAAUGGGGGAAACCCUGAUCCAGCAAUGCCGCGUGAGUGAAGAAGGCCUUAGGGUUGUAAAGCUCUUUCGCCCGCGAAGAUAAUGACGGUAGCGGGAGAAGAAGCCCCGGCUAACUCCGUGCCAGCAGCCGCGGUAAUAUGGAGGGGGCUAGCGUUGUUCGGAAUUACUGGGCGUAAAGCGUACGUAGGCGGAUGCGCAAGUUGGGGGUGAAAUCCCGGGGCUUAACCUCGGAAUUGCCCUCAAAACUGCACGUCUUGAGACCGAGAGAGGUAAGGGGAAUUCCUAGUGUAGAGGUGAAAUUCGUAGAUAUUAGGAAGAACACCAGUGGCGAAGGCGCCUUACUGGCUCGGUACUGACGCUGAGGUACGAAAGCGUGGGGAGCAAACA